rnacentral:rRNA from 1 species
GAUACCACCCUUGUAGUACUGGGACUCUAACCAUAGGCCAUGAAUCUGGUCUUGGGACACUGUCAGGUGGGCAGUUUGACUGGGGCGGUCGCCUCCCAAAAGGUAACGGAGGCGCUCAAAGGUUCUCUCAGUACGGUCGGAAAUCGUACGUAGAGGGUAAAGGCAAAAGAGAGCUUGAUUGCAAGACAUACAGGUCGAGCAAGGAUGAAAAGCGGACUUAGUGAUCCGGUGGUUCUGCGUGGAAGGGCCAUCGCUCAACGGAUAAAAGCUACCCUGGGGAUAACAGGCUUAUCUCCCCCAAGAGUCCACAUCGACGGGGAGGUUUGGAACCUCGAUGUCGGCUCAUCACAUCCUGGGGCUGUAGUAGGUCCCAAGGGUUGGGCUGUUCGCCCAUUAAAGUGGUACGCG